rnacentral:rRNA from 1 species
AGAUCAUAAAUGCUGGAAUGCUUUAUGAUUGAAAGGUUUCGACCGCCUUAGGAUGGAUCUGCGGCCUAUCAGGUUGUAGUGGGUGUAAUGUACCUACUAGCCUACGACGGGUACGGGUUGUGGAAGCAAGAGCCCGGAGAUGGAUUCUGAGACAUGAAUCCAGGCCCUACGGGGCGCAGCAGGCGCGAAAACUUUACAAUGCGGGAAACCGUGAUAAGGGAACACUGAGUGCUAGCAUUUAUGUUAGCUGUCCACAUGUGUAAAUAGCAUGUGAUAGCAAGGGCUGGGCAAGACCGGUGCCAGCCGCCGCGGUAACACCGGCAGCCCGAGUGGUGAUCACUAUUAUUGGGUCUAAAGGGUCCGUAGCCGGUUUAAUCAGUCUUCUGGGAAAUCUAAUCGCUUAACUAUUAGGCUUCCAGGGGAUACUGUUAGACUUGGGACCGGGAGAGGUAAGAGGCACUGCAGGGGUAGGAGUGAAAUCUUGUAAUCCCUGUGAGACCACCAGUGGCGAAGGCGUCUUACCAGAACGGGUCCGACGGUGAGGGACGAAAGCUGGGGGCACGAACCGGAUUAG